rnacentral:rRNA from 1 species
UACGGGGGGGGCAAGCGUUGUUCGGAAUUACUGGGCGUAAAGGGCUCGUAGGCGGCCAACUAAGUCCGACGUGAAAUCCCCAGGCUUAACCUGGGAACUGCGUCGGAUACUGGAUGGCUUGAAUCCGGGAGAGGGAUGCGGAAUUCCAGGUGUAGCGGUGAAAUGCGCAGAUAUCGGGAAGAACACCCGUGGCGAAGGCGGUUCUCUGGGACGGUACUGACGCUGAGACGCGAAAGCGUGGGGAGCGAACAGG